rnacentral:rRNA from 1 species
CCUACGGGAGGCUGCAGUGGGGAAUAUUGGACAAUGGGCGAAAGCCUGAUCCAGCCAUGCCGCGUGUGUGAAGAAGGCCUUCGGGUUGUAAAGCACUUUCAGUGGGGAAGAAAGCCUUGGGGCUAAUACCCUCGAGGAAGGACAUCACCCACAGAAGAAGCACCGGCUAACUCCGUGCCAGCAGCCGCUGUAAUACGGAGGGUGCGAGCGUUAAUCGGAAUUACUGGGCUUAAAGCGCGCGUAGGCGGUCUGAUAAGCCGGUUGUGAAAGCCCCGGGCUCAACCUGGGAACGGCAUCCGGAACUGUCAGGCUAGAGUGCAGGAGAGGAAGGUAGAAUUCCCGGUGUAGCGGUGAAAUGCGUAGAGAUCGGGAGGAAUACCAGUGGCGAAGGCGGCCUUCUGGACUGACACUGACGCUGAGGUGCGAAAGCGUGGGUAGCAAACAGGAUUAGAUACCCCGGUAGUC